GGACUACCCGCUGAACUUAAGCAUAUCAAAAGGCCGGAAGGA
rnacentral:rRNA from 1 species